UUGACAAGCUUUUUACAGCCAAACCCUAGAAACUUCCCCAUUUGGCAAAAAUUUUCUUUAUAUUCUCUGCAGUAUUUGGUACUUUGAACACAACAGACCCACGGAUUGAUUCUUCUCCAGAACACUUGAUACAGGUUUACUAGACAAACAAAAGGGUGACACAUUCAGCUCCUUGACAUGGCAGGCCAGAGGAACAACUACGGUAAGAGAAUGCAAUCGGAAUCUGACUAUUCAAGGAAUGAUGGAAGUAAGAGAAGGACUCCAACUGAUGAAAAGGAAUCAAAUUCCAUUGGACCAGAGGAUACUGUUUUUCGUUAUUUAUGCCCCACAGGAAAAAUUGGAAGUAUCAUUGGAGUUGGUGGGGACAUUGCAAAACAAUUGAGGACAGAAACUAAUUCAAAGAUUAGGAUUAGUGAGACCAUACCUGGCUGCGAGGAGCGUGUGGUAACUAUUUAUAGUGGAAGUGAAGAAACUAAUGUCUCUGAAGAUACUGGUGACCUGAUUUCACCUGCUCAAGAUGCUUUAUUCAGGGUGCAUGACAGAGUCCUUGCUGAAGACCUGCGUAUGGACGAAGAUCUGGAGGAUCAUCAGCAGAUUACUGUAAGGAUGCUUGUCCCAUCAGAUCAGAUAGGUUGUGUGAUAGGGAAAGGUGGACAAGUGAUACAGAAUUUACGAAGUGAAACAGGUGCGCAGAUUCGGGUGUUAAGCAGUGAGCACUUGCCCCCUUGUGCUCUAAACUCGGAUGAGCUUCUCCAGAUAACCGGUGAAGGUGCAGUUGUUAAGAAAGCACUUUAUCAAGUAGCAGCACGCCUCCAUGAUAAUCCAUCACGGUCCCAACAUCAAUUGCUGUCGUCACCCAGCAUAUUUAGGUCUGGUGCUGGACUUGUUAAUCCUCAUGCUGGUACCCAAGUCAUGGGUGUGACAUCAUUGAUGGGUCCUUACGCAAGUUACAAAAGUGAUGGUAGAAGUAGAUCUUCUUCUGUAAAAGAGUUUGCAGUUCGUUUGGUUUGUCCAACUGAGAAUGUAGGAGCUGUAAUUGGCAAAGGUGGAGGCAUUAUCAAACAGCUAAGACAGGAAUCAGGUGCAUCUAUUAAAGUCGAUAGUGCUGCGGCUGAGGGAGAUGAUUGCAUUAUAUUUGUAUCAGCAAAGGAGGCAUUUGAAGAUCAAUCCCCUACCAUCGAUGCAACAAUGCGUUUGCAACCAAGAAGUAGUGAGAAAACUGAAAAAGAAUCCGGGGAUGCUAUUCUUACGACUCGCCUGCUUGUACCUAGUUCACGAGUUGGAUGCCUUAUUGGUAAAGGUGGUUCCAUUAUCAAUGAGAUGCGGAAUUCCACAAGGGCAAGCAUCCGCGUUCUUUCGAAGGAAAAUCUUCCCAAAGUGGCAUCCGAAGAUGACGAGAUGGUGCAGAUUACUGGAGAUGCUAAUGUUGCUGCCAAUGCGUUAUUGCAAGUACUUAUGCGUUUGAGGGCCAAUACAUUUGAGAUGGAGGGAUCUUUUCCUGCAUUUUCUCCUGGCCUUUCUUAUGUCCCCAUGUCUGCAAGCAUGCCAGAUGGCUCAAGAUAUGGUAACCGUGAUAAUAGAUCACGUCGGCAUGGUCAUUCAUCUUAUUCAGGUGGACAUGAUUACAAUGAUUUGUCUCCAAGUGAUAGUUAUGGUGGCUCACAGGUUGGUGGUGGAGGUAAUUAUGCACCAUAUGGCGUUUAUUCCUCUGGGCGACCUAGCAGUGCAGGGGUUUCUAGCCAUAACCCUUCUGCCUAUGGAAAAUCUUAUGGAUACUAGGGUGUAGAGGGUUAUUAGCAGCCGGAGGGUAGGAGGUACUUGAGAUUGAGAAUUGCUUUUCAGAUCGUUGAGUAGGCAUGAAUAUGUUUUCAGAGCUUUGGUAUAUGUGGAAAUGAUGGUGUUGGUCACUGCUUGAUGUGUGAUCAUUUUAUGUGAUCGAUUCUGCAGAGGAUUGAUAGAAAAUUUAAUUCUUAUGAUAAAUUCCUACUAAGGAGGAAAGAAAGCUCUAUCACGUGUAUUGCCAACUGCUUUUUACCCUUUGGAGGGCUUCAUGAAGCUUACAGUAAUGGAAUUACUGGGGUUCCAUAUCUACGUGUGUCAUUCCAUCAGCUUUAUUUCAUUAUUUGAGCAUGGAGUUCUCUUUGCUCUGUGCUGUUUAAUAAGAGUUCUGCACUGUACUUUCAAAAGCCGGUCCAGUUUGUUAUGUUGUUUGUUGGACGGCUGAGUGUAAUUAACCCUUUAGUGUGGCCUUUGAAUGGUCCAUUUAAAGCAUUCUUCUAAGUAAUUGAUUCGAUGUAAUAGAGUAAAAGCUCACACCUCCUUAGUUAUAAGGUACUAAAUCAUUACCACCACCAGGAGGUGGUUGGGAAUUUGGGAUCCCUCCAUGUUCAACCGGAGAUCGCAUUCAAGCUCUGAAGAUGGUGGCAUGAAGUUGAAUUAGUUGGGUCAGUGAGCUUCACAAGCCAUACUUAUUCCUGGAAAUGUUAAAAAUAAAGAAAUUGUUAAGAGUUGUAUUGUCAUUUCUAUUUAGUCCCAACAGGAUUCAUAUGUAAAGAUACUGGUCUUAUUGAGUUGAUAAUGAGAAUUUUAUCCUUGUUGAUA